GGCGGGUUGCCCGAGUGGCCAAUGGGAGCGGACUGUAAAUCCGUCGGCUUAGCCUACGCAAGUUCGAACCUUGCACCCGCCA
rnacentral:tRNA from 1 species